rnacentral:rRNA from 1 species
UACGUAGGGGGCAAGCGUUGUCCGGAAUCAUUGGGCGUAAAGCGCGUGUAGGCGGCUCGGUAAGUCCGCUCUGAAAGUCCAGGGCUCAACCCUGGGAUGCGGGUGGAUACUGCCGGGCUCGAGUCCGGAAGAGGCGAGUGGAAUUCCUGGUGUAGCGGUGAAAUGCGCAGAUAUCAGGAAGAACACCUAUGGCGAAGGCAGCUCUCUGGGACGGUACUGACGCUGAGACGCGAAAGCGUGGGGAGCGAACAGG